CUUCGAUGGUGGUUGGAGGUGCCUGUCCGUCUCUCCAGUGCAUCCCCAUUUUCUGACAAUCGCUAGGGUGAGGCCGACCCACAUGAUGCUAGAAAGGUUGUUGAUGUGGCCGUCAGAGUAAGCGUCGGCUGCGGCCAUUUUGUUGGCAGAUCCGAAAAGUUGUCGCAUGUGCCCAGGUCCCAACCCCCAGAUCAACUAGUCACAGGCAGAGAAAGACGGGUUUGGUAUCAUGGCAGAACGUACAGGGACAAACUUGCCUGAAGGAGCUGCAUCUCCCGAGGAAAUUUACAAGGACGGUUUUAUGGAGGGACAAAGAUUAACCCUAAACCGUAUAGAGGCUUGUAUCCCACAGGACCAAAUUGCCUUUUACAAAACUAGGAAGACUCCUAUGGGUUGGAUGAAUGCCCCAAGCAUAACUUAUAUAAUUUUUAGGGAACUUCAGAUCACUGUGCCAUGUAUCGUGAAUCCAUAUGCUGGACAAACCCAUCCUGUGGCAGUUGCCAAUGAGAUGGAGCCUUUCACACAAGCAAUUCCCUGUACAAGUGGGCUUCAGUACCAACCUAGUAGUAGUAGUAGUGACCUCUCUUCACCUGGCCCAUCUGCGAUUGCUACUACAACACCUCCAGGAGUUGUUGAACGAUUGUCAGACACAGUACGGAGAAAAAUUUUAGCUACUCCACCGGAAUUUUUCCAGGAAUCUCCGUGGAAGGCAUACUUUAAGUUUCCACAACUUAGCACCAAAGAAAAGCAAAAAGCUCCAACAAUACCAAAGGCAGCCAAUAGUGAAGACUACAUCAGAUACUUAGAGAUUAAAGAAAGGAAAAAAAGGCUUUCCGAAGAGAAAAAGGAGCAGCGUAAGAUGGAAAGGGAGGCAAAAAUGCUGGGGAAAAAAAGAGGAAGCAAAGGAAAAGGAAAGGGUAAAGGCAAGAGCACUGCCAAAAAACCAAGGCUAGAUGAAGAGGAUAAUAGUGAGAGUGAUUUCAGUGGUUUGUAGUGAGAGUGAACUGAAUAAAUGUGGAACCUGCAAAGGGAAGGAUGGGGCAAAUUCUCUUUGGGUGGGAUGCCAGACUUGUGAAAGGUGGUUCCACAAAAGAUGCGUUGGCAUCUCACUCAAGUUGACAAAACAGGAAAUAGAAAAACUAGAUUUUAUUUGCAGUCAUUGUAUGGAUUCGUAGAUUGUUUAAAAAUUGAGCAUAUCAAAUAUUUUUAUUUAGUAGUAUACAAUUUAUAUUUGUUUUUGAAUACAUGAUGUGAUAUAUUUA